AGAUCGCUCAUACUCGCAUUGGAGUUUAUAAGAAUGUGGGGGAACCUCAUUGAAACAAACUGAAUAUUGAAAGACUUGGAUAGAGUGGAUGUGGAGAGGAUGUUUCCACUGGCGGGAAAGUCUGGGACAAGAGGUCAAAG